rnacentral:rRNA from 1 species
GCAGAACUAACAGGGAUUGCCUUAGUAACGGCGAGUGAAGCGGCAAAAGCUCAAAUUUGAAAUCUAGCACUUUCAGUGUUCGAGUUGUAAUUUGAAGAAGGUAUCUUUGGAGUUGGCCCCUGUCUAUGUUCCUUGGAACAGGACGUCACAGAGGGUGAGAAUCCCGUGCGAUGGGGAGACCAAUUCUAUGUAAAGUUCCUUCGAAGAGUCGAGUUGUUUGGGAAUGCAGCUCUAAGUGGGUGGUAAAUUCCAUCUAAAGCUAAAUAUUGGCGAGAGACCGAUAGCGAACAAGUACAGUGAUGGAAAGAUGAAAAGAACUUUGAAAAGAGAGUGAAAAAGUACGUGAAAUUGUUGAAAGGGAAGGACUUUUGAUCAGACUUGGUGUUUAGUACUCUCUACUCCUUGUGGGUGGGGCUCUUGCUUUAUACUGGGCCAGCAUCGGUUUGGAUGGCAGGAUAAUGGCAUUGGAAUGUGGCUUCAUUCGUGGAGUGUUAUAGCCUUUGUUGAUACUGCCUAUCUAGACCGAGGACUGCGUCUUUGACUAGGAUGCUGGCGUAAU